UARACGUAACCGACGUUUUGUCGGAAGAAUGCAUCUACACAAGUCAAACGUACCGAAUCGAUAUUAGAAAGAAACAUGGUCAAUUUGCUUUACUGUUUAUUUUAUGGCUGGAAUUUAACUGAAGUGCAAUGCACUUUAGAAGAGGAGACGCUUUGGGAAGUAAAGAAGAGGAAUACAUCACUGUAGCAGUCAUGAAUACAAAGAAUUCCAACAGCGUUGAAAAGUAAACAAASAAACUUYACCAUUCAUUAUAAAAGCCGUAGUAUGCUGUAUUUAAAAGCCUGAGCUAUUCUCUUCAUUAUUAUCACUUGUAAUUUUGUUUUGUUGGAUUUUUUGUGUUGUUGUCGGUGUUUUUCUAUCGCGUUUUUAACGCGGAGUUCGACAAUGAAAAAUGAUCUCUCUUAGUCGAAAAGCUUAAUCAAAAUUAAACAUUCAAUUACCU